AACGAACGCUGGCGGCGUGGAUAAGACAUGCAAGUCGAACGAUCACUAUUGGGUAGCAAUAUUCGGUAGUGGGAGUGGCGCAAGGGUGCGUAACACGUGGGUAAUUUGCCGUAAAGUCUGGGAUAACUUGCUGAAAGGCGAGCUAAUACCGGAUGUGAUUGCUGGAGGGCAUCCUCUGGCACUUAAAGUCGGGGACCGUAAGGCCUGACACUUUUCGAUAAGCCCGCGGCCUAUCAGCUAGUUGGUGAGGUAACGGCUCACCAAGGCUAAGACGGGUAGCUGGUCUGAGAGGACGACCAGCCUCACUGGAACUGAGACACGGUCCAGACACCUACGGUGGCAGCAGUCGAGAAUUUUUCUCAAUGGGGGAAACCCUGAAGGAGCGACGCCGCGUGGGGGAUGAAUGGCUUCGGCCCGUAAACCCCUGUCAUUUGCGAUCAAACCUUACGACCUAACACGUCGUGAGCUGAUAGUAGCGGAAGAGGAAGGGACGGCUAACUCUGUGCCAGCAGCCG
rnacentral:rRNA from 1 species